rnacentral:tRNA from 1 species
CAGUAAAUAGUUUAAGUUAAAAUUUUAAUUUUGGGGAUUAAUGAUAAGCAUUGCUUUUUACUGA